CGGUAGCUCAGUUGGAUAGAGCAACAGCCUUCUAAGCUGUGGGUCGCGGGUUCGAAUCCCACCGG
rnacentral:tRNA from 1 species